rnacentral:rRNA from 1 species
AACGAACGCUGGCGGCAUGCCUAACACAUGCAAGUCGAACGAGACCUUCGGGUCUAGUGGCGCACGGGUGCGUAACGCGUGGGAACCUGCCCUUAGGUUCGGAAUAACUCCCCGAAAGGGGUGCUAAUACCGGAAAAUGUCUUCGGACCAAAGAUUUAUCGCCUUUGGAUAGGCCCGCGUUGGUUUAGCUAGUUGGUAGGGUAAAAGCCUACCAAGGCGACGAUCCAUAGCUGGUCUGAGAGGAUGAUCAGCCACACUGGGACUGAGCCACGGCCCAGACUCCUGCGGGAGGCAGCAGUGGGGAAUAUUGGACAAUGGGCGAAAGCCUGAUCCAGCAAUGCCGCGUGAGUGAUGAAGGCCUUAGGGUUGUAAAGCUCUUUUACCCGGGAUGAUAAUGACAGUACCGGGAGAAUAAGCUCCGGCUAACUCCGUG